rnacentral:pre_miRNA from 1 species
UCUUACGGAUGAGCAAAGGAAGUAGUUUCUUGGGAUGAAAUCUACUCCUGGUGAGAUGUUUUGAA